CAAGGUUUUACAGAACAACCAAUCAAUCUGUACAAUACACAAGACACUCACACACAAAAUCCUCCUCUCUGCCUGUGAUAUGAUUACUGAACACAAUGGUUAAUCUAAUUAUCACAGGCAGAGAAAUACAGUAUCAUAAAACACAUCACAGGGACCCCAAAACAUGCAAUAACCCCAUAAGAGUAUAUCCUUGGAACCGGGGGAUCUGGGUGAACCACAUAUCCAAAAUUCACCCAGAUCCGUUCAGUACU
rnacentral:lncRNA from 1 species